rnacentral:rRNA from 1 species
AUUGAACGCUGGCGGCAUGCUUUACACAUGCAAGUCGAACGGUAACAGGUCUUCGGAUGCUGACGAGUGGCGAACGGGUGAGUAAUGCAUCGGAACGUGCCCAGUCGUGGGGGAUAACGCAGCGAAAGCUGCGCUAAUACCGCAUACGAUCUAUGGAUGAAAGCGGGGGACUCGCAAGAGCCUCGCGCGAUUGGAGCGGCCGAUGUCAGAUUAGGUAGUUGGUGGGGUAAAGGCUCACCAAGCCAACGAUCUGUAGCUGGUCUGAGAGGACGACCAGCCACACUGGAACUGAGACACGGUCCAGACUCCUACGGGAGGCAGCAGUGGGGAAUUUUGGACAAUGGGCGCAAGCCUGAUCCAGCAAUGCCGCGUGCAGGAAGAAGGCC